CCGAGGCUGCCGCCAAGUUGAGCGGCAUUAAUUGACAGAUAAGGGCUGGGCAUCAAACAGCAGAGAGAAAGGCCAUCGCAGAUUUUCUUGCUUUAUUUCUCUCUGCACUUCAUUUACAUCUUAAGCCAUAUUGGUGAUCCAGAUUUGAAUAAAGCCACAGCUUAAGCCGUGAUUAGAUCUCAAUAGCUUGGAUUUGCUAUGAAAUUGCUGCAUUUUUACUAGAUGUAUUUAGAAAUACUGGUGAAAACUGACACCUUGGGUAACUUUAUCAUUUAAAAUGGUGCUUCGGGUGGAUAGAAAAAAAAAAAAAAGAACACCCAAACCGCUAAACUGGGGGUAUUAGUCGCCAGGCCUUUGACUCAAGCAGUGUCAGGGGUUAGAAUUAUACAAAAGCCAAGCUGAGCACAACGUGGGCAAGAAAGAACACAGAUAACUCAACCCACCACCUUCCCCUAAGCCCACUCUCCCCAAAAAUGUUAAUCGAAGCAGUGAUCCCAUAACCUGAAGAAAAAUAAGGAAGGCAAAAGGAAUAUAUAAUGCAACAAGGAGCUCUUUUAAUGCUGAGAUUUUUUUUUUUAAUCAUGAAGCAAUAUUUUUAACUCUAAGGUUAACCUGCUAAUCCUUAAGCUGGUGAUAUGACAGUGUCAAAUGUGAUGGGAUUUUGUGAUUCUCAUUAUUGUUAUGUAUUGUUCUUUCCCUGGUAUUCCAUAUUAAUAUUUAUAAAUGCCCUUUUUAUAGAACCAAGAGGACCAAAACCCAUUAUUAAAUUUUUAAAAUGGACAAACCUCGCAUCCAAUAUAGUUGAUUACAAUUUAGAACAAAAAGGAUUUCAGUAGUAAUCCACUUCUUGUUUCUCGUUGUUGAUUUGUGUGGACAGCAGAGCUCCUGAUGUUAUUUAAAACAACAACAACCAAAAAAAAAAAAACCCUACUGUUUGCCCAAAGUAACAUCCAAAUGGCAGAGAAAAACAGGUUAUUGAUCCCGCCUUGUGAGAAGGAGGUGAAAGAUACCAAGAACAGAGGACAAGGAGAGUGUUUGGAGACAGAGAUGGAGAAUCUCAAAGAGAAAUCCCAACCCGGGAUCCCUGGGUGGCGCAGCGGUUUGGCGCCUGCCUUUGGCCCGGGGCGUGAUUCUGGAGACCCGGGAUCGAAUUCCACAUCGGGCUCCCUGCAUGGAGCCUGCUUCUCCCUCUGCCUGUGUCUCUGCCUCUCUGUCUCUCUCUGUGUGACUAUCAUGAAUAAAUAAAUAAAAUCUUAAAAAAAAAAAAAAGAAAUCCCAACCCUACCCUCUAAGAGCCACCAUUACACCAUGGGGUAAAUGGUGUUGGGAAGUCUUUUUACCCUUGAGAAGGGAAGGUUAUUUUUUAUUUCCUUUCAUAGGGGCAUGGAGCAGGGGAGCCAAGAGUAGGGGCACAGGAGCGGGUUCCUGUUGAGCCCAUGUCUCAGAGCUCAUGUCACCGUUUCUUUUCCCCAGUGUUGAGCCCCAUGAAGCAGAGGCACUGGGAAUGGGGAAGAUGUUCUAAAGGGCCCAAGUGGGCCCAGAGCUUGGGGUUCUCCCUUUCCUGGCUCAGUGAAAUGGGGAAAACAUGGGGCUCUCUCCACACUAUUGCUCCAUCUUAUGCUACACAAGCUUCGGAAUCUAGCAGUUUGCAGUUAGCAUCCUGACUUUGGGGCACCAGGGUGGAUCAGUCAGUUAAAUGUCCCACUCUUGGUUUUGGUUCAGGUCCUGAUCUCAAGGUUGUGAGUUCAAGCCCCACAUUGUAAUACGUAAAUGAUGGCUCAGAGAGGAAUCUGCUUCAGAUUCCGUCUCCCUCUCUCUCUCCCCCUCUGGCUCUUCCCCCACUCAGUCUCUCUCUCUCAAAUCAAUCAAUCAAUCAAUCUUAAAAAAAAAAAAAAAAGAUUCCCAACUUUGCACUUACUUGCUGUGAACAGAAAAUUACAUGCAGAAAAUUAAGUCAUGGAGGAUUGGAAGUGUUUAGCACUUUACUUUCCAGGGCAGAAAGUGUAAGUCCACUUUUACUGUUACUACUGUCAGAGAUUCUCAGAUUCCCUUCUAAGAAAUGUGAACCUUGAGACCAGAAGAAUUGACCACAAUUCAGAUUAUAUCUUACAUCUUCCACAGAGGAUUUCAGGUGACUUACAGUGUGAAAAAUCAUACUGAACGGAACAAUUAAAGAUAGAAAUAGAACAGAAACCAUCUGGGAAAGCAGGGAAAUGGGUCUUCCAGGAACUCUCAAAGAGGAGUU
rnacentral:lncRNA from 12 species